CUGCAGCUUGCAGCAUCCUCUAAGAGACUACAUCAGGGUCUUAACCCAUGGAGCCACAAUGGGAACUCCGGGAAUCCUGUUUUGAGUUUUCCGUUAGAAGUCUAGGAAUAGAUCACUCCAGCUUCGGAUAAUCAGCCAAGGGAUGAUAAGGUUAGCUCUCCUGUGUUGAGGACCUACUGUGUGCUGAAGGCUUUGCCCUCAUCGUCUCCAUCAGCUCUUAAGACAGCUUUGUAAAGGGAUGUUGUUAACUCUACUUCACAGACAAGGAAACAAAGGUCCAAAUAAUUGAAAAAACAACCUCUUUGAGGCCAGAGAGCAAAUAACUAUGGGAGCAGGGACUUCAUACCACCUGACUUCCCAUCAUGGAGCCUCCGGGGGUUGAUGAAGGAUCGCGGGCUGUGCUGUGGCUAAUGGGCAGGCACUGGGGGGCUGCUUCACCAGCAUCUGCUACGGGCCCUCUGCAGCCCUCCUCAACCUCUGGUCUCAAUGCUCUGCUGCCUUGCUAAAUUUGAGGCAGCUCCCCACUCCCCACCCCCAGAGGAGCCAGACUGCCCUGUCACACCUGGUAACACCUGGGGGCGGGGGGAGAGAUUUGGAAACUCAGGCAUUGGGCACCCUGGGCUCUGCCAAGGACCAGAUCCAUCAGUCUAAUCAGGUGACCCUAGCGUUUGGGCCCAGCUGGAUGUUGGCAGCACGGGACUCUGACUUUGCUAAAUGUUUUACAGCAGAGCCACCACGAAAAGAACUGCGCGUUGGUUGUUAUUUUGGAUGCUCCAUUGAUGUGUGAGUCUAGAAACUCAGGCGCUCUAGUUGACUGGGCUUGGGAGUUCUGCCUUGACUUGCGUGAGUGCCCAGCUGCUCUGCAGGAGUGACCAAGACCAUCACGGAGCUGUCAUGACCUCGUGAGGUUUGGGUUUCUUGACAUGGGCUUCUUUUUCCCAUGGGCAAGACUCCGGACUCUAAGCACAGGCUGGGGCCAGCCAGGGUCUGGUCUCCUUUCCCUGGGUCCCUGUCUGCUUAUGCCUCUUUCCAAGGCCUAAGUCCAGCCAUGUCCCAGGUCCUUAGGAAGGACUGUCUUAUAAGAAAGAGAAAGGAAAAACCAAAGGGCCUCUUGAUUCAUCCUCUCAUUAUAACGUCUAAGGCUAUCUCUGGCCAUAUGGGGCCUCUUUCUUUCUAGAGCCAAGAGACUCAAGUGACUAAUUGGGAAGAGAGGAUGUGGCAGUCUCGGUGGCACCAGAAAACCCGGGCUCUGCCAGAAGCGGGAGGGCAAGACACUGACUUCAGCAAAAUGGGGACAAGGACCUCCACAUGGCAAGAAGAAGGAACAAGGCCCCCUUGGCACCUGCCACCAGUUCAUGUCUCCACAAGUGGUGGCGACUGUUGGUAUGAUGAUGAAGUGACCGUCCCCCACUCUGUAAGUCCCUUCUAAACCCCUAGGUAGGCGUUGCAAGGGUUCAGUGUUGAUGUUUCCUCCUUGCUCACUUCAGCCAGAAAGGAGCUGUCUUUCUCUCCCUGCAGCUCUUGGCCAGUCUGGCUGCAGCAGCCAUCUGAUUCCUCCCUUGUGACUGUAUUCGAACAGAGACUGGCUCUUAUCUGCCUGCUGGAUGGAGGCUCACGGAGGCGAAGGGCCCAGGACCACAGGUGUUUCACGGUCAAGGUCAUCAUCCAUUCUUCCAAGCCAUUCUUCCAGGAUCAUCCAGAAUCAUUUGGCAAUAUAGUUACAUUAAUCUUAUGAGGACUUCCAUCUCAUUGGAAUAUGGUACUUUGCAUAUGUUUUACUAAACUUAUUAUUUCUUUGAUACCA